rnacentral:lncRNA from 1 species
UUUGUAUUUUUAGUAGAGACAGGGUUUCACCAUGUUGACCAGGCUGGUCUUGAACUCCUGACCUCAGGUGAUCCGCCCACCUCGGCCUCCCAAACUGUUGGGAUUACAGGCGUGAGUCACUGCGCCUGGCCAAGAGGUGCUUCUUAAAGCAAAUGGCUCCAAGUGAGCUAAAAACUAAAUGUCAUUUUCUCCCCUAGGAACACCUCCUAUGACCCAUCAUUGAUGUCUUCCAGUGAAUUUAUUUACUGAAGGGCUCUUGAGAAGGGCUUGGGGGGCCACGCAGGGGGGCAGGAAGCUGCCUGGGGCCAGAGACCCCUUCAGAGGACCUGGCCAGGCCCUAGACUUCUAGAGCUGAAGGGUGGACCCAAAGAUGAAUUUGCUUCUUGUGUCCUGGGUCCCCUGAUAGAGACUGUAUGAGAAGCCAACAGGAGGAGGGUGCCUCUCCCCAGCCCCAGGCUCUCACAGCCACUUGGACGGCAGUUGUCCCUCCCUCCGUCCCUCCCCUUCCCUCCCUCCCCUCCCUGUGGGUCCCCCACAUUUCUGUCUCUGCUCCCACUGCAGGCUGUUUUGUUCCUCCCUGACUCUGUCACCCUCCUCUGCUUCUCUGUCACAGUCUCUCUCCCUUCCCUCAGUCUCUGUCCUUCUGUCUGAGCCGAGGUUCUCUGGGCUUCCAGAGGCAGAUGAUGGUCUCCAGCUCUUCAGACAGUGGCUGCUUUCAUUCCAUUUCCUGGCCCCUGUCUGGGAACAAUGAAGAAGAAUCACGCAGGCACCAGGAGGAAGUCUGAGCCCGCCUUAGCUCCAUGGCCUCAGCUUCUGCAGUCUCCGUAUCAUCCACAGCUCACAGCCUCCUGCCGAUCAGUCAGCACGUCUUUCCAGACCUUCUGCUUGAAAUGCGAGUCUUCUAACAACUUGCCUGCUGAACUCCUACUCCUCCUUUCAGGGCUCAGCUUAAGCAUCGCCUGUGGCCAGGGCUCAGGGCCUGCCCUGCACCUUUCAUAUCGCCUCUCUGGGAGUGGCUUGUUUAAACAUCCCGGGAGCCUGGAGAGGUGGUAUCACAGGCAUUUGAACCAGAGCGACUCCAUCUUGAGUGAGGGCUAGGAAAAUGAAGUUGGGACUUGCAUUCCCAGAAGGCUAUUCCCAGCCUCUAGAUGUUUACAGUUAAGGAAAUGGAUUAAUAAUGUUUACUAACAAACCCAAACUUCGGAGUGUCCAGAUAUCCCGAUAUCUCGAGAACAAAGGCAUUCCUAAUUUUGCUUCAAAGAUAAUAAUAUUGAUUCUUGCAAAAUUUGGUAAUUUUAAAAAAGAAUCCUUUAUCACAAACCCUGUAGCAGAGCACAUCUCCCCAUGAUCUUUUUUUAUCCUAUAUAUAUACAAGCACUGUACCUAGGGUGGAUGCAUUCCUCCUCUUACUUUUGGGAAUGCCCUAUUCUGUCUAUGGAGUAGCUGUUCUUUCACCACUUGACUUUCUAAAUAAACUUGCUUUUCCUUUGCACCGCAGACUCGCCCUGAAUUCUUUCUUGAGCAAGAUCCAAGAUCCCUCUCUUGGGGUCUGGAUCGGGACCCCUUUCCUAUAACAGUGCGACCAGGCUGUCCCUGCUCACCAAGGUGUCUGGGCACGGUCGGUGACUGCUCUUUGUAGGUCUCGGUGAAAACCUGCGGAGGAAUGAGUGAGUGUAAGAAAGGGAAGGAGACAUUUUUAAUUAAGACCAGGCAAGAUUAGGCAAUAGGAGAAAAGAC